AAGUGUCAGUAUUUCCGGAAUACUUUCAAAAAUUAAAUUGAAAAUAUCGUAGUAACAAUACGCAUGUUUAAAGUUUUGACCCCCCUUGUUAAAGGGGUAUGAUCCGAUUUACAAAAAAAGCGUGCCAGAUGAAAGGGGUAUAUAAAUAUUUAUUAUAAAAAAAUAAUAAUAUUGAUCCAUACAUUUUUCCAAAAGUUAUAUAAAAUAUAAAUUAAAUAAUAUAACAUAUAAAAUCGAGAUUUUUUUCACGGAAAUCGUACGUUUUUCUUUAACUUUGAUGUCCGUUUUCACCACGAAGACAAGUCCAGAGGUCAAAUUUUUUUUUUUCAAAUUAAAGUAUAUUACAUUAGCUUUAAUUUAAGGUAUAUAUAAAAUUGUCAGUCUUUCCGGAACAUUUUCAAAAGUUAAGUUGAAAAAGUUAAUUUUUUGUAAAAAAGCUACCAUUUUGAAACCCUUCCUGUGGGCUGUUAAAGGGUCAAAUGUUCACAAAAAUAUAUAAAAUGAUAGGUAAAUAUUUAAGGUAUCUAUAAAAAAAAAAAAUUAUAUUGAUUCGAUCAUUUUUGAAAAAGUU